rnacentral:rRNA from 1 species
UACGUAGGGGGCAAGCGUUGUCCGGAAUCAUUGGGCGUAAAGCGCGCGUAGGCGGCUUUGUAAGUUAGAGGUGAAAGCCCGGGGCUCAACUCCGGAACUGCCUUUAAGACUGCAUCGCUCGAAUCCAGGAGAGGUGAGUGGAAUUCCGAGUGUAGAGGUGAAAUUCGUAGAUAUUCGGAAGAACACCAGUGGCGAAGGCGAACUGACUGGACAAGUAUUGACGCUGAGGUGCGAAAGCGUGGGGAGCAACAGG